rnacentral:rRNA from 1 species
GACGAACGCUGGCGGCGUGCUUAACACAUGCAAGUCGAGCGGAAAGGCCCUUCGGGGUACUCGAGCGGCGAACGGGUGAGUAACACGUGAGUAACCUGCCCUUGGCUCUGGGAUAAGCCCGGGAAACUGGGUCUAAUACCGGAUACGACACACCUCCGCAUGGAGUGUGUGUGGAAAGUCUUUCGGCUGGGGAUGGACUCGCGGUCUAUCAGCUUGUUGGUGGGGUGAUGGCCUACCAAGGCGACGACGGAUAGCCGGCCUGAGAGGGUGACCGGCCACACUGGGACUGAGACACGGCCCAGACUCCUACGGGGGGCAGCAGUGGGGAAUAUUGCGCAAUGGGCGGAAGCCUGACGCAGCGACGCCGCGUGGGGGAUGAAGGCCUUCGGGUUGUAAACCUCUUUCACCACCGACAAAGCUAACGUGACGGUAGGUGGGGAAGAAGCGCCGGCUAACUACGUGCCAGCAGCCGCCGUAAUAC